UCCGAUCCGACCCGACCGCGGUCCGUUCCUCACCAAAAAUCGCCCGACCCCUCCUCCCAGCCCGGGGACGCUUUUUCUCCUCCUUUGCGGACCUCCAACCGGCCGUUCCGGUCUCCGCCGCCGCCGCCGCCGCCGCCGCCAAUCAUAUUCUUCGGCGCCCCUGCUUUUUACUCGAGCAGACCGUCAAAAAAAAAAAAAGGAGAGGAGUGAGGCCAUACCCGUAACCAACUGCUUUUCUCCUUCCUCCCCCAUCGCUUCCUCCUCAAAAUCUCCUCCUCCACCACCAUGCUCCUCCUCCCCCGCUUCCCCCCUCCCCUCCGCCUCCCGAACUC
rnacentral:lncRNA from 1 species